UAAGCUCUUUCUUAUCGCUCUGGGCGCUUGCUGUGUAUCCCAGUCGUGCCACCGUUAUUCUUCCACGGUCAACCUCUCCGAGCGCCAUCUCUUCCGUCACUCCCAGCUACUGCGCCGCGUACAGCUAUAUUUCUUGGUGAGCGUCCCUUUUCCCUUACGCCAUGCCCACUCGUUUCGAUCUCUCGGUUCACUCUCUCUCUAUCUCAGCUUCACCACCGCAUGGAGGCCGUUCGUUUGGCCGUCUGGAGCAGCAGGCUCACGUUGCUCUUCUUUCCGCACGAUGUCCGCAUCUUCUGUUGUCGUUGAAGUCCCAGCCACGCCAUCUUCAGCCCCCCACAGCCCAACUCAGCUACAUCAUGUUUUUUUCCACGGAGUCGCAGCUGUAGGUCUUCUCCUUGGACUUGUGUCGUGCCAUCACAGCGUUCAACGUCGUUGCGAGUGGACUCUCUUCUCGCCGAUUUUCUUUCCCCAUUGCAAGCCAUGCGACACCACUAAAUUUUGAGGUUCUUUGUUCCUGCUAUUUUGUCCUACAGUGAUUAUUUUUCCUCUCCCACUGCAGAGAAAUCGCCGCUGUUUGGAGCUACAAAAAUUCCCUCACCGACGUCAUAGCUAGCUAGCGCCCAAACAGUGUUGUUUCCGCUCUUUAAUUUUCACGAGCCACGCACCCGAACUUAGGUAAGAUUUUCAGAAUUUUAGAUUUAUGAUCGACUUUGUUACGUGGACUAUAUCAAUGAAUUUUAGUUGCCGGGAUUAAUUUUAAUUAAUGAUUUUACAUGGCUGUCCGGGGUACAUGUUUAUUAUGUUGGUUGUGUUUUGCCCUUUGAAAUGUUAAAAGUGUGGUGAAUUGGGUUGAUGUGUGGCGAAUGGAGUUGAUUGGUGCCUGUUCGAGGUGGUUUAUUGGCUGUUUGUGCAAUGUGUGUGUGUGUUUGGGCUGGUUAUGUUGGAUGUGUUAUGAGUGGCGUAGAUGCCCGGGAUUGAAGUGUUGGAUGAUUAAAAAUAUAUGGUGGCUGUGUUGGAGUUUUAUAUUGAAGGUUGGAGUUGACGUGGCUGUUUUGAGUUAUGUUUUAGUGGUGGGAGUUGCUGUUGUUGGUUUUGGAGAUGUAUUUUGAUGUUGGUUUGGUGUUGGUUAUCAUGAGGAAUGUGUUAGUGUUGGGCUGUUUCUAAAUGCUUUUGCUUGUAGGCUUGCUUUAUUCCAUCCCUAGAAUGGUGGAAUUUUGUUAGUUAAGUUGAUGAGCAGAUACGAGUUAUUAACAUGUUAGUGAAUAAUUUUCUGUUUAGGUUGUGACAUUGAUAGAGCUCAGGUCCAAAGCUUAAGUAACUCUCUGCAAGAGUUAGGUAUGCAGGGUUCAAUUACUAGUUUUGCACAAAAAAAAAAAAAAAAAAAAAAAAAAUGAAUGAGGUUGAUUUUUGGAAAAAUAUGCAUGUUUUUGUGUUAUGAAAAUAUAUUUGAAAACGACCUCAGAUGUGUUAUGCAUAUUCAUGAAAUAUGUAAUGAGAAAGAAUUUUCUAUCAUGACUGGUGUCCAUAUGAGCUAAUUUUGUACAUUUAGUUUUCUGAAUUGAGAAAGAGCAAAUAUGAGAUUUUAAAAUUUUCGUUUUGAUUAAAUAAAGAUGCUCUGAUUCUGUUAUCUUUGAACAUGUGAAAUGAUCUAAAUUUGUUCCAUACUCUGUUUGAUAUGUUGUGGCAUCUAAAAACCUUAGCAUGGGAUUAUGAAUAUGUAUUCUGAUUAAAGUCUAAUUUUGAU